GAUGAAGAACGUAGUGAAACGCGAUACGUAAUGUGAAUUGCAGAAUUCAGUGAAUCAUCGAAUCUUUGAACGCACCUUGCGCCCUCUGGUAUUCCGGGGGGCAUGCCUGUUCGAGCGUCAUUAUAACCACUCAAGCUCUCGCUUGGUAUUGGGGUUCGCGGUUCCGCGGCCCCUAAAAUCAGUGGCGGUGCCUGUCGGCUCUACGCGUAGUAAUACUCCUCGCGAUUGAGUCCGGUAGGUCUACUUGCCAGCAACCCCCAAUUUUUACAGGUUGACCUCGGAUCAGGUAGGGAUACCCGCUGAACUUAAGCAUAUCAAUAAGCGGAGGA
rnacentral:misc_RNA from 1 species